GAACGAGAUGUUAAAUAAAGGGAGCGCAGCUGUUGUUGGUGGUGCACAUUGUGCAAAAGAAAAGGAUACUUCAACUGAAAGUGGAUUAGUGAAAUACGUAGAAAAGAUAUUGUCACAUAGUGAUAAAGCUUAAAACGAAAGUUCUCAUCAACUGGGUAGAUGCACGGAAAUAGUAACAGAUUUGGUAGCAGUGACACACUGUAAUUUCUCUUCACUGGAGUCUCCGGGAUGUGCGAGUGGAAAAAAUAAAUACUCGAGAUCAGACCCCCUGGCUUUCCUGAAAGACUGCUGAAAACUCAAUGAAGCAGGUCCUUAGCGAACUGGCGCUCUUAGUCAUGAGACUACCAGAGACUGCUCAAGUGUCAAAAGUUACAAUAAGUUUAGAUCCUUUUGCAAAUGUGGUCUGCUUAUGAAACAUGUGAGUGGCUGCACCUUUUAACCACAGAGAUUCAUAGAUAAUGUUGCUCUAUCAAUUUCCUUUCGGUAUUUACUAUGAAGACGUCAAUAACAAUUAAGCAUUUUCAUCUCAAAGACAGCACUAAAUUUCAAGGUCAUAACAAUGACCAACACAAAAGUCACCAAUUUUAAUCGCAAGCUUAUAACAAGCAACUAUAUAUGUAUUGUGCUAAGAAAAUAAUAUUUAUUUAACGCUUCAACGCUUCAAUCACAUGCAUGAAAACUUUUUGGUGAAGUUUCUUGAAGUUCGCUGCUUUCUCAUUGUUGUGAAUUUUGGCUGCAUUAAUUUGUAAUUAUGGAUGCUAGCGUGAUUUCCCUUUUUUAUUUUAUUCUUUAUUAUAUAAUAUACAUAUAUAUUUAAUUUUUUUUCAUAUCACAUACUUGAGUUUUAUAAAUUUGGCGUUGGGCGAGAAUUAGUUUUUGAACUACCUUAAAUUGUUGAACUUAAACUAAAUUUGUUUUAGCAUCAAAUAUUUGUAUAUAUUUAUGAUUACGGCCGAUAAAUAAAUACAAUGGACAGCAAUUUUUGCGCGUUUAACUUUAGUAUUAUGUUUGACUAUUUUAUUAUAUAUUCUUAUAUCAAACUGUACUUUUUGACUUUAUGGCUUUGCUAGUUCUUGUUGUUGUAUAUAGUUCACACAACUCUAAACUCAUGCAUUGCCUUGCUUUUAUUUAAUUUAUUUUUAUUAUCUAUUUUCUGUGGCUUUCUUUGUAAUUUUUAAUUGUCUAUUUUCGCAAUUAA